UACGAAGGGGGCUAGCGUUGUUCGGAAUUACUGGGCGUAAAGCGUAUGCAGGCGGCUCUCUAAGUCGGGGGUGAAAUCCUGAGGCUCAACCUCAGAACUGCCUUCGAUACUGGAGAUCUUGAGUCCGGGAGAGGUGAGUGGAACUGCGAGUGUAGAGGUGAAAUUCGUAGAUAUUCGCAAGAACACCAGUGGCGAAGGCGGCUCACUGGCUCGGUACUGACGCUGAGGUGCGAAAGCGUGGGGAGCAAACAGG
rnacentral:rRNA from 1 species